AACGCUGGCGGCACGCCUAACACAUGCAAGUCGAGCGCUUCCCACCAACUUCGGUUGUGGGGAGGAGCGGCGGACGGGUUAGUAACGCGUGGGAAUAUACCCAUCACUGAGGAAUAGCCUCUGGAAACGGAGAGUAAUACCUUAUACGCCCUUCGGGGGAAAGAUUUAUCGGUGAUGGAUUAGCCCGCGUAAGAUUAGAUAGUUGGUGGGGUAACGGCCUACCAAGUCGACGAUCUUUAGCUGGUUUGAGAGGAUGAUCAGCAACACUGGGACUGAGACACGGCCCAGACUCCUACGGGAGGCAGCAGUGGGGAAUCUUAGACAAUGGGCGCAAGCCUGAUCUAGCGAUGCCGCGUGAGUGAUGAAGGUCUUAGGAUCGUAAAGCUCUUUCGCCAGGGAUGAUAAUGACAGUACCUGGUAAAGAAACCCCGGCUAACUCCGUGCCAGCAGCCGCGGUAAUACGGAGGGGGUUAGCGUUGUUCGGAAUUACUGGGCGUAAAGCGCACGUAGGCGGAUUGGAAAGUAGGGGGUGAAAUCCCAGGGCUCAACCCUGGAACUGCCUCCUAAACUAACAGUCUAGAGUUCGAGAGAGGUGAGUGGAAUUCCAAGUGUAGAGGUGAAAUUCGUAGAUAUUUGGAGGAACACCAGUGGCGAAGGCGGCUCACUGGCUCGAUACUGACGCUGAGUGCGAAAGCGUGGGAGCAAACAG
rnacentral:rRNA from 1 species